rnacentral:tRNA from 1 species
GGGGAUUUAGCUCAGUGGCAUAAACACCUGCCUUGAAAGCAGGCGGUUGUGAGUUCAAUCCCCA